GAAGACUGCCCUAUGGGUUGUAAACUGCUUUUAUACGGGAAGAAACACCGCUACGUGUAGCGGCUUGACGGUACCGUAAGAAUAAGGAUCGGCUAACUCCGUGCCAGCAGCCGCGGUAAUACGGAGGAUCCAAGCGUUAUCCGGAAUCAUUGGGUUUAAAGGGUCCGUAGGUGGAUAAUUAAGUCAGAGGUGAAAUCCUGCAGCUCAACUGUAGAAUUGCCUUUGAUACUGGUUAUCUUGAGUUAUUAUGAAGUAGUUAGAAUAUGUAGUGUAGCGGUGAAAUGCAUAGAUAUUACAUAGAAUACCGAUUGCGAAGGCAGAUUACUAAUAAUCAACUGACACUGAUGGACGAAAGCGUGGGGAGCGAACAGGAUUAGAUACCCUGGUAGUCCACGCCGUAAACGAUGGUCACUAGCUGUUCGGACUUCGGUCUGAAGUGGCUAAGCGAAAGUGAUAAGUGACCCACCUGGGGAGUACCGUUCGCAAGAAUGAAACUCAAA
rnacentral:rRNA from 1 species